GUGCUUUCUGUGAAGCCGGGCUGUAAGGCAUCCGGUGGAGAGAUCACUAGUGAGAAUGAUGACAUGAGUAGCGACAAAGAGUGUGAGAGACACUCUCGCCGAAAGUCCAAGGGUUCCUGCUUAAAGCUAAUCUGAGCAGGGUAAGCCGACCCCUAAGUCGAGGCCGAAAGGCGUAGACGAUGGGAACCAGGUUAAUAUUCCUGGGCCAGGAGGAAGUGACGGAUUGUGAAGGUUGUUUGCCCUUAUCGGAUUGGGCAGGCCGCUGAUCAGUCCCUGGAAAUAGCCCUCCAUAAGACCGUACCCUAAACCGACACAGGUGGACUGGUAGAGCAUACCAAGGCGCUUGAGAGAACUAUGUUGAAGGAACUCGGCAAAAUACCUCCGUAAGUUCGCGAGAAGGAGGCCCGGUUCCUAGGCAACUAGGGGCUGGGGGCACAAACCAGGGGGUGGCGACUGUUUACUAAAAACACAGGGCUCUGCGAAGUCGCAAGACGACGUAUAGGGUCUGACGCCUGCCCGGUGCCUGAAGGUUAAAAGGAGGGGUGAGAGCUCUGAAUUGAAGCCCAGGUAAACGGCGGCCGUAACUAUAACGGUCCUAAGGU
rnacentral:rRNA from 1 species